UCAUGUUUACUUCUGCAUGAAGAACAGUCCACCCAAUGAAGAAGAAUUUCAGGGUACACUGUUGAAUGAAGUUGACCAUUACCAGGGUAAUCAUGUCAGAUGCCAUGCAGAGUCACAGUGCAAGCAGAAUGGCUAUGUGAUGAGCAAAAGACUGUUAACUAAACCUGAAGCAGUAGCUGCAUACAGGAAAGUCAUUAUGAGCACUUCAAUUAUAGGCAUGCAUCAGACUAAAUGCAGUGCAGGGAAACAUAUUGGAUCGAGUCUCUCCAUUCAGUGAUGCUCAUUUAUGCUGCAAAGCAGAUUCAUUAUGGAGAUGACUCAUACAACAUGCGCAUGGGGUUAGCCGUUCUUGAUUGG